AUGGUUUAUAAGAGUGAACAUUGGAGUGCUCAUGCCACAGCGUGACAUGUUGCUCUCACAAAUCUUGUUAGGAUGCUGGCACGUUGACACUGAGAAA
ensembl:snoRNA LOC120100485 small nucleolar RNA U13